AGUGAACGCUGGCGGUAGGCCUAACACAUGCAAGUCGAACGGCAGCACAGUAAGAGCUUGCUCUUACGGGUGGCGAGUGGCGGACGGGUGAGGAAUACAUCGGAAUCUACUUUUUCGUGGGGGAUAACGUAGGGAAACUUACGCUAAUACCGCAUACGACCUACGGGUGAAAGCAGGGGAUCUUCGGACCUUGCGCGAUUGAAUGAGCCGAUGUCGGAUUUGCUAGUGGGCGGGGUAAAGGCCCACCAAGGCGACGAUCCGUAGCUGGUCUGAGAGGAUGAUCAGCCACACUGGAACUGAGACACGGUCCAGACUCCUACGGGAGGCAGCAGUGGGGAAUAUUGGACAAUGGGCGCAAGCCUGAUCCAGCCAUACCGCGUGGGUGAAGAAGGCCUUCGGGUUGUAAAGCCCUUUUGUUGGGAAAGAAAAGCAGCAGGUUAAUACCCCGCUGUUCUGACGGUACCCAAAGAAUAAGCACCGGCUAACUUCGUG
rnacentral:rRNA from 1 species